UACAGAGGUCUCAAGCGUUGUUCGGAUUCAUUGGGCGUAAAGGGUGCGUAGGCGGUCUGUUGCGUCCGCUGUGAAAACUCGGGGCUUAACCCCGAGCCUGCAGUGGAUACGGGCAGACUAGAGGUAGGUAGGGGAGAAUGGAAUUCCCGGUGUAGCGGUGAAAUGCGCAGAUAUCGGGAGGAACACCGGUGGCGAAGGCGGUUCUCUGGGCCUUACCUGACGCUGAGGAGCGAAAGCGUGGGGAGCGAACAGG
rnacentral:rRNA from 1 species